CCCGCCCCCCUGCGGGCCGUGCCCUGCGGAAGGACGCGCAUGCGCAGCUCCGCUGCCCCGCAGAGCGGUGGGUGAGGGGGCGGCUGCCGUGAGGCGCUGGGGCCGCUCGCGCGGGUGGGCGAGCGCCGCUACGACGGGCAGGGAGCCCCGCAGCAGCGAGCGGGAAGCGUGCGGAGGGGGAAAGCGGCGUUGUUCUCCUCCCAGCGCUGCCCUGACGGGCGCCCUGCAGCCCUUCGCCACGCCCUCUGCCGUGGCGUGAGGUGGAAAGCCCGGGGAGGCAGCUCGGUACCCACGGCGCGGCUGAAUCUGCAGCGUAAUAGCCCACCUACAGACUGACUUGACUUAGGGCUUCGUGAGCAGGGGCUGUGACUCGAGGUUCAGAUGUAGCGGUCCGAACGCCGCUGAUGCGGGAAGGGGAAAGGAGGUGGCAGCCCGGGCUCUGUCCCUCCGCCUCGCCCUGCGAAGUGCCGGCGCUGCCUCUGGGAGCGGCGCUGUGGCAGCCGCGUGCCGCAGGGAGAGCGGACGGCGGCUCCCCUCCUCACGCAGCUGCCGCGCUCGGACGCGGCUGUGCCCUGUGGCAGCUCCUGCGUUAGCUGCCUGAGUGCCGUUGGUAGCGGUGAGCCGGCUCAGAUCCCAAGGGCAAGAAGCAGAGGACUCGGCAGCCCCUUUCAAUGACAGUGAAGGGUGGCGUCGGCCUGCCGUCGCCCUGAUACUGAAGGCAUCGCGUUACACUGCGGUGCAAGCUGCCGUUGGGACAGGCGAUGCCUUUCUGCCCGUGCUGUCACGUACCCGGUCCUUCCCUCUCUUCCGCUCCAGCUGGUGUUGCUUUGACCUUGUGCAAACGCUUCAGGGAGAUCGUUCUUUUUUCUUUUGCGCUGAUAGCCGUCGUGUCAUGAAGGCUCCACAUGGUUCCAGGACGAGGCAGUCCGGCUGGCUGACUAGCUUACCUCAUUAGUGCUAGCGCUGCGGAUGGGUGAGACCGCGGGAGCUCCACGUAGUCCCUUCACUGGGCUGCGAGGUUAAGGCAGGUUUAAACUCUCAAUACAGGAGCUGCACCUCCCAGCAGGAGAACCGCUCCUCCUGCUGCAGUUUCACAGCAGUUUAAACCAAACGAACUUGGUGCUACAGUGGUCUCGUUUGCUUCUCGCGAAUCCUCUUUCCAAGGAGUUGUGUGCAGUCUUUCCCACCGAUGUCUGUGUGACCUCGCACAAUAAGCGAUCAACGUCCACGGGCGCGGGGGAAGGCAUGAGCACAAGCAGCCCUUUGUCGAUUUUGGUGUGAGCUAACAAAUUUGGCAUCCCAUCCUUGCUUGGUCUGUAGGCACUGAAGUAAUAGGGACGAUUUAAAAGGCUAUAGGUACUUUUGAAAUAGAAAUGUGUGUGUUAUACUUUGAGUUUAUUAUACUUUUUCCCAAAGAUUAUAAGCUUCUCAGCUUGUUUUCACAGCUGGAUUUCCCUACACACAUACAAGGCGCUGUGACUUUGGACGAAGCUAAAUACUUGUCCUGUGUGUUCAAUGCCAUUUACUAAGAAUAGUGUCAGUUUAAAAGGUAAAUUUUUUACUGUGAGUUUCAGAAGUAGCUGCUGAGCUAAUAGGAUUGGCUAAAGAGAAAGUAACUGAGUAGAUCACGUUGGACUCUUGGAAUAACAAGAGCUGUAAACAGUUUCAGUUCAGCAGACAAACUUUCCAAAAAAAUUCCCCUAGGAAAUUAAAAAUUCACGUUUAGUUACAGUCCAAGUUAAUGUCAGUCUCUUAAGAUGGAAAAUCCUAAGUAAGUCAAUAAGUGGGGGGAAUCCCAUAGCGCAAGCUUCUCUGAAUUUCCCUAUUUCCCUUGAUUAAAUGCAAAUACACUGAUAAGGUCAUCUAAUGAGCUGUGAAUGGCACUGAAACCGAGGGGAAGGGUGAAGUAUAAUAAGGUACGAACUUGAAAUGUUGAAAAUAUUUUGUCAACUCCAAGACAACAUCACAAAGCUAUGUGAAGUGCAAAAAGUCAUGCUGGGAUAUGCAGACAUCCCCUCCCUUCCCCGCCCCCCCCCAGUUCUUGUAAGAAGCACUUAUUUAGAAAACGUAGGAGGAAAUAUUUUUUACAGCCUUGCUACAAAAUCAGAGGACUGAACUACUGUAUUUCAUUCUAUCACUGCUGGCCAGCAACACUGCUGGCAAUACUGGAUGGACAUUGCUGAUGGCCUUUUUGCUGCUGAAGUGUUGCUCGUGGCAUUUUCUUUUGAAGUCCUAGCACUGAACUUUUUCUGGAGACAAAGAAAACCAUGGUCCAGUUUUUCUCUCUGCCAACAAACAGUAAUUUCAUUUGGCAAGUAGAGCUUUUGGAUAUGCUUUUCUUUUUUUGGUAAGGCAGGAGCAGCAUUCCAGCAUUGCAUCUAGAGUAGCCUCCAGAUCAGACAAAGGACGUGGUUCUGCCCUUAGAUGUUUGCACAGAGCCCUGGUGGACAUUAUUCCCAGGGAUGUAGGCUUGGCUCCAAGAAGAAGGCGUUUUCAUUCAAGCCAAAGAUCUCCUAAAGCCUCUUAUGCUAGGCUAAGGAGAUUGCUUCCUUUGGAAUGCAAUCUUCUUUAUGAUAGGGAAGCAUGUGAGGGUAAAUCCACUCUGGUGUAUUGGUAACAAUGCGUAGUACUUUGCAGAGCAAUUAAGCCCCAUAAUUGAAUGCAGAAUCAAAAUUUCCUUCAGUCUUCUGGGUAUGGCUGGCCAGCAAUGGGAGCAAUUACAGCAGGAGCUGAGGUAAAUGACACUAAUCCAAUGAGGCCCGUUUCCAACCUCAGCUGCACACCAAACCUGUUUCCACGCCCCUACUCCCCACUCCACACAAGUGAGCGGCACAAUUAUUGCAUGGAAUGUCCUGUUCUGAAAAGGGCAGGAAUUGUGCUGGGAAAUAGGCUGGAAAGGGAGAAUGCUGCACUCGCUUCGUCCCUUUGGCUGAUGAGGACGUGUGUUUGGGAGCCCUUCUGCCCUUUCCUUUCCCAGCAGUACCUCCAGCAGGCUGAGGCCUGCGCCCAGCCCCAUUGCCAGCUCCCACAGUGGGACUGUCAGUCACUGCAACAGGUAGGCUGCUUUCCCACACCGACUUCUGACAAAUCCUUCCCAUACAGAAGAUGUAAUCCCGUUGGUGAAGGAACCAUGAAAAUCCCUUAAGAACCCCUUGAUUUAAAGGUCUCUUUAUCACAGAUCAGAAGCACGGGCCUUAAUGAUAAAAAUAGAGUGAAUUUAAGCAUGAAUCAUGCAGAAGGUUCCAGUAAAUUACAAAUGACACUGCCUCAGCUUGCACUGGAGAAAUCCAUGAGAAAGUUGUCCUCACAUUCCUGCCACGUUCCUCAGCAGUAGUCGCAGUGCUCCUGCACCGUGCUCCAGCUGGGCAGCUCCAGGCAGCACCGGGAUGGGGCCUUGGAUGGUGCCCAUACAUUGCAUGGUAGUGUGUGCUGGUACACCCCGUGUGCUUGUACGCGUUUAUAGGCUGCAGAUCAGAGUGCCCAGGCUUUUCUUAAUGCUGUCAGGAGUAAAACAGUGUUGCACUGUGCCAUCUGAAGCAGAACUGUGUCACCGUUUUGGCUGCUGUCCAUGUUGUACGGGUAUUUAUUGUAUACCUUUUCUUACCUUCAUGGUAAAAGGAUGAUGUGUAUCUUUUAAAGGUGAUUUUAUCACUGUUGAUAACUUCUAAGAAUGGUUUGAAUAUCCCCCCUCCAAGGAGAGUAUCAGAAUAAUGGAGAAUAAUUCUGACUGUAAAUGGAUGAGGACAGUAAGGGAGAUUCUUCUGGUGAUGUUGCAAUAUCUGUAGCAAGUUGGUAAAUAUAAUAAUAAUAAUAAAAAAAAAAUAGUUAAAGCCCAUUUUGUCACCAGGCCUUACAGAUACAACUACCUGUAACUGUCAAACCCGUACUCAGUGCCUUCUAACUUUUGCUACAUUUGGGCUUCUGCCACAGAUGAAGUUACACAUUUACUAGAGGUCAUUUUCAUACGCCUGUUUAUGAGAUGGUCGAAAGUUGCAAUUAUUAGUCUUAUGUAACAUGUAAUUAUUUUUCUGAUAUAUACUAAAUGGAUUUGGUUGCAGAAAUGGGGGAGGGCGUGCAGACUGAUGCCUGGUUGCUGGAUUACUCCAAGGCAUUAAUUCAUUCCUUAUGGUCAAAUACGUUCCAACAUGUAGAUGCUUCAAUUACAUAACUAAUCCCAAUAAACCUUUCAUGAAUCAUUUGCUAAUUUUCUUGAUGUGUGUGAUACAGAGAAAGAAGAAUAAAUCCAAAGGUAAUGAAAAACAGUAACAGCAAACACAGAUCAAGGAUACAGUGUCAGAGCUAACCCUUAAGCAGCCAUUUCUCUUUUAUCAUGUUAACCUGUGACAUCCUCUGCAGUUUUCCAAAGCGAUCCUGCUUAGCUCUGUCCUCUGUGCCAUUUUUGCACAUGGCAGAGGUAUUUAUUUGUCUCUAGUGGUAGAGAUAGAAUCAUAGAAUCAUAGAAUCGCUAAGGUUGGAAAAGACCCACAGGAUCAUCCAGUCCAACCAUUCGCCCUUCACCAAUGGUUCUCGCUAAACCAUGUCCCUCAACACAACAUCCAAACGCUCUUUGAACACCACCAGGCUCGGUGACUCCACCACCUCUCUGGGCAGCCCAUUCCAGUGCCUGACCACCCUUUCAGAGAAGUAGUAUUUCCAAGAUUCCAGAUACCUGACUGUCAUUUGUCAGAGGGUGGUCGCCUCUCUUGUGCAGCUGGUUACUUUGCUAGGCCUUGACCGAUUUUGCUGUUCCAUCUGUAAAUCUCUGCAACACGCCUGCAUUGUGUGGGAUACAGUUGUGUCAUGUCGCUGCAUAGUAAUGUUUUGAGAAAAUCUGUGACACGAUAGCUCAUCAUAAUAGUCCAUCAAUAGAAAUGUUUCUACCUUGUUAAAUGUAAGAAAUUGAUCAAACUUUUAUUUAAAAUACUCACAAGAGUAUUUUCAAUGUAGAUGCAAUUCCCUUACUGCUGACAUCCUACUGUUUCUACAGCAGCAUGGAGGAACUGGAAAAAGAUUCAAAGUACUUGACUCAUCUGACCUGAAAAGUGAAAACCAGUCAGCACACAGUGUACUGCACAGCAGUAUCAAGGGACGUAUGUAGCUGGGUAUAUUUUGGCCUUGGACUGGCAAAAUCUCUACUCUUGCCAAACAAGUCAUGGCACUUUUAUCAUCUGUGUGAAACUUGCAAGACAGCAAAUGUGCUGAACAGUGUGAGACAAAGUGUCUUUUGCUCAUCCUGGUAAUGCCAGCACGCCUGCAGACCGUGCCCACAUCUGUACAGAGCAGGCACUUCUUGCUGCUUGGAGUUAGGUGAAAGGAAAGGGAAAAGAUGUGUGUUGCCUCUGGUUUGGCUUUUGUUUUCCUCCCUGCAGUGCAAGCCCUUGCUAUCAAUAGGACCAGAUUCAGCCAUCAGUUAUUACUUGAACAAUUCCUACUGACCAGGAUUGAUCAAGAGAGGUUUUCUCACAUAUGCAGUCUGCAGGAAUCUUCCUCAGUAAGAACUCAGGAGGAGCACGACUGGCUUGGAAAAAGAACCUCAGGACAUCUUCCCUUCCCCCACAUCCCCACCUCCUGGGAAUAGAUGCAGAUCUGCUGCGACAGGGACUGAAGCAGCAGCCACAGAUCCUGCACUUUUCAUGUGCAACGCGGUGAAGUCACAGGGACUGGCUGCUGUGGCUCCUGGGAGAGAGGCUGAGUCAUGAUCUGUGCUACCUCUGCACCCAGGGAGUGCGGAGGAUGCUUCUGAGGAUGCAGAUGAUGCGCUGCUUUCCUGUGGCUGGAGUUCAAGGUGUGCUGGUGGUUUGUCCAGAGCUGAAGUGAAUCAUACCCUUUUAGAAUGAAAUGGAAAAUGAGGUAACAGCCACGAUUGCAGCUAUGAAAGUAACAGUGCUAUAAAUCAGGCAAAAGGCAGAUUCUGGAUCCAGUGGGUCACCAAGAGCUUGGAUCUUCCAGUGCUGGCAUGCGGUUCUGAGGUCCUCCCUUGUGUCUUGUGGAUGGCGUGGUGAGCACAGCAAACAAAGGCUGAACAUCCCACCUGUGUGGCAGAAUUUCUGAAGAAGUACGUCGCGGAUGAAGGCACGCACAGAUGGUGCAGGCUGCAGCACAGUCCUGUUGGCUGUACGUUGUCCAGGCAGUGUUGCUCUUGAGAACAGAUCAGCCCAGGCCUUCUGAUCAUGUGUGCUGCUGGGCACUGCCAGGAGGAUGCACUGCUGGCUUCAUCGGGUUGCUCUCUCAGUGCCUGGGCUAUGCAGGCAGGAACAGUAGGCAGUGCAGAGUUGGGGCUUUUGGCAGUGCACGAUGUGACUAUAUGCUGCAGCUGAGGCCACAGAACCUGUACCACAGAAUAGAGUUGCAGGAAGACUCCAUAACUUCCCUGUCAAGACAUGCUCAGUGCAGGAAGAUCCAAGAACACCAUUAUCAUGAAAAGGUUUUUCUGAGCCGUAAUUGCUUCUGGUAGCCCAUGUAGACAAAUACUGAAUACAACCAAUACUUUUCCAUGAAGAAGCACCCCCCACUGAACCACAGCACAGACAGCAUCACACAGGACUACACCACUACGGUGGUUAUGUAAUCUUUGCUUGAAUCCAGACUGUCUUCAUCGACUUUAAAAUGUGUCUGCAAUCUCUCUUUACCAGCAUAUGGCUCUCGGCAGGUGUUUUGCCUGAAGAGUUAUACAGCAGUGAGCUGUCUGAGGGUAAUCAAGCCAAAGCUCAUCAUAUGGUUUCAGUAGAAAUCUGUUCCUGAUAGUUUAAAUAUUUUCCAGCUUUAAUUAAUUAAGUUGAACUGCCUUUACUCACCCCUAUUUAACAUACCCCCGUUAUAAUUUAAUUGCAGAUUUACUUUCUUUCCAUGACCACUAAAUAGCAGUUGGUUUUAUGAGCCUUGUUUUAAUCCCACACUGAUGAAAGUCCAUUAGACAAUAAAAUCUGACUUCAUUUCAGA